rnacentral:rRNA from 1 species
UCGGGGCCACCUCCCAUCCGUGUUGUCCUGACACCUGUUGCUUCGGCGGGCCCGCCGUGGUUCACGCCCCGGCCGCCGGGGGGUUCACGCCCCCGGGCCCGCGCCCGCCGAAGACCCCUGGAACGCUGCCUGGAAGGUUGCCGUCUGAGUAUACAAUCAAUCAAUUAAAACUUUCAACAACGGAUCUCUUGGUUCCGGCAUCGAUGAAGAACGCAGCGAAAUGCGAUAAGUAAUGUGAAUUGCAGAAUUCCGUGAAUCAUCGAAUCUUUGAACGCACAUUGCGCCCCCUGGCAUUCCGGGGGGCAUGCCUGUCCGAGCGUCAUUGCUAACCCUCCAGCCCGGCUGGUGUGUUGGGCCGCCGUCCCCCCCUCCCGGGGGACGGGCCCGAAAGGCAGCGGCGGCGUCGCGUCCGGUCCUCGAGCGUAUGGGGCUUUGUCACACGCUUCAGUAGAACCGGCCGGCUUGCUGGCCACACGACCUUCACGGUCACCUAUAUUUCUCUUAGGUUGACCUCGGAUCAGGUAGGGAUACCCGCUGAACUUAAGCAUAUCAAUAAGCCGGA